rnacentral:tRNA from 1 species
UCCUGCUUCGCUCAGUUGAUAGUGCUCCAUUGGAAAUUGAGAAGUCCCUGGUUCGAUACCAGGACCAGUAG